CUCAACACGAGAAAAAGCCCAGGUUAGAAAGUUGGAUGUUAAGAUACUACAUGGAGCAUAGACAAGUCGUAUCAACUGAGGCUCCACGGUAGGCCAGUUUAGCCCUUAGCCAGUCUGGCAGCUAACCAUGGAGACAGGAGUGAGUUCAGCCAAGUACAGCUAAUUCCAGCUUUGCAGACAACUCAGGAUCUUCCUCCGUUGCCCAGGCUGGAGUGCAGCAGUACAAUCACAGCUCACUGAAGCUUUGACUUCCCAGGCUUGACCAAUACUCCCACCCUCAGCUUGGGACUCCAGGUGCAUGUCACUAUAUAUGGCUAAUGUUUUUGAUUUUUUGUAGAGCCAGUGUCUCUCUAUAUUGCCUAGGCUGAUUUUGAACUCCUGAGCUCAAGAGAUUUUCCUACCUUCCUCCCAAAGUUCUGGAAUUACAGGAAGCAUUCUAUAGUCUCUGUGCCAUGCCAGAAUCCACUCUUUGAUUUCCACAGUCCCACGGAACGCCAAGCUUUUGGAGGGGAGCAUUCACCUCUGAGCUGCCACCAUCCCUGCCAAGACUCAGAAAUGCCUCAUGAAAUGUUUCUUAAACAAAAACAUUAGAUAGCAUUGAAUUAAUUACUAUCAAUCAGUACUAUUGCUUUCUGAAUAAAUGCCAGUUGGGUUUAAGAAUCA
rnacentral:lncRNA from 13 species